rnacentral:rRNA from 1 species
AUAGUCUGGGAUACCACUUGGAAACAGGUGCUAAUACCGGAUAAGAAAGCGGAUCGCAUGAUCAGCUUUUAAAAGGCGGCGUAAGCUGUCGCUAUGGGAUGGCCCCGCGGUGCAUUAGCUAGUUGGUAAGGUAAAGGCUUACCAAGGCGAUGAUGCAUAGCCGAGUUGAGAGACUGAUCGGCCACAUUGGGACUGAGACACCGGACCCAAACUCCGUACGGGAGGCAGCAGGC